GGGCCCGCGGCACGGACACACCCCCCGCCCCCGGCCCCGGCCCCGCCGCGGGGUGUGCGGGGAGUGUGCGGUACAAGAACAGCCGGUCACAACGUGCUUUGCGCUGGUACAGCCCCUCUGCUGUGCCCGCAUUCUCUCCAGCUGAGCAGAUCACAUCUGGAUGAGGGCACGUGCCUAGACCUCAAGACACGAUUCACUGCAGCCACCUUUCUUACCUGUAGAAUUAAGCGAGUUCUUGCUACCGUUCUGAAAUCACUGGUCUCUUAUGUAAAAUAUCUUACAAAAUUAUAUCUACUUCUUCCCCAUCAUCAGCAAGUGAAUUAUUUUACUAUUAAUCCUCUCUAUGUUAAAAGAAAUAAAAUAGUAAUUUAUUUUAGAAUCUUUUCAAAGAAUGAAGUCAAGCUAGUUGGAUUACAGUAAUUUUGGGGCCUAUUUUUCCUACAUUUAAAGAUGAAACCGUUUGUCUUUCAAAAGUCCUCUGGGCUUCUUCUUCUGCACAGCUUCUGAGAAAUAACUUCCAACAUUAUAGAGACUGCUUCAGGUAGUUACUUACAGUUUGUGUGGGGUUUUUUUGUUUUUGAAAAAAAUACUUCAGGGCAAAUUCCAUCUGAUCCUGCAGAAUUUUGACUCAAAUUUUGUGUGUGCCACUAUAAUCUUGUUUAAAUUAAUCACAGUAGUUUUAUUAAUUGUUAAACUGUAUUAUUCUACUGAAACAGAAAGAGGGUGCUGUAUCCUUCAACCCAUUACACUACAGAUGCACGUUUUCUUCUUGCCCCCUUUUCUAUAUAAUUUUAGUUUCUCCAUUUGUUUUCAACUGAGCAAGAGAUACAAAUCUCAACUGCUUAAGUUUUCCUUCAGAUCUGAUCCCCUGAACUCUGUAAGAUGAAGCCAUUGGACUCUGAAGCAUUGCCCUCAUCUCAAAGGAUGACACAGCAGAACUGUUCACAGCAUCAGUUAAUGUUUUCCAUUCUGAAAAGCUUGAUUUAAUAAGAUAUACUGGUAUUUCAUGUAGCAGCUUUAGAUGCUAGUGUGUGCUUUACUACCUCUGUUCUGAAGUCACCUUUUUUUGUUAUUCUGUAAAGAAAAAUGUUAGUUUACUCUGUCUGAUGUUACACAGCAGAACCCAACAAACUGCCUCAGGUGCUGCUUGGCUCAGCCCAGGGGUGGAGAGGAGUGUGCUGAUCCACAGCCCCGAUGAGCUGGACACCAGUGACUUCAGGACAUUGUGUCUGCCUGGGUUAGCCCUGCUGGAAUGGGAAGUCUGGACAGAACUGUCUUGACACAAGCUGCUUAAUUGAGUAGUCGUGUAAUAUUAUUAGGAGUCUGCCCUUCUUCAUUCCUUCCUUUUCUUUGUGUUCCCAUCUCUUGGCUGCAUAACAUUUGAAAUCAUAGCUAUGAUCCAUCAAUGUUACUAGUUGUGUGAUGAGCCUGAUGCUUUUUGAGCCUGAUAAAAAUACGCAAAGACAUAAAUAAACAUAAAUCUGACUGUUGAA